AACGAACGCUGGCGGCAUGCCUAACACAUGCAAGUCGAACGAUGCCUCCGGGCAUAGUGGCGCACGGGUGCGUAACGCGUGGGAAUCUGCCCUUGGGUUCGGAAUAACUCGCCGAAAGGCGAGCUCAUACCGGUUGAUGUCGUAAGUCCAAAGAUUUAUCGCCCAAGGAUGAGCCCGCGUAGGAUUAGCUAGUUGGUGGGGUAAAGGCCCACCAAGGCGACGAUCCUUAGCUGGUCUGAGAGGAUGAUCAGCCACACUGGGACUGAGACACGGCCCAGACUCCUACGGGAGGCAGCAGUGGGGAAUAUUGGACAAUGGGCGAAAGCCUGAUCCAGCAAUGCCGCGUGAGUGAUGAAGGCCUUAGGGUUGUAAAGCUCUUUUACCCGGGAUGAUAAUGACAGUACCGGGAGAAUAAGCACCGGCUAACUCCGUG
rnacentral:rRNA from 1 species